rnacentral:rRNA from 1 species
CCUACGGGAUGCAGCAGUGAGGAAUAUUGGUCAAUGGGCGGGAGCCUGAACCAGCCAAGCCGCGUGAGGGAAGAAGGUACAGCGUAUCGUAAACCUCUUUUGUCAGGGAACAAAGGCGGGGACUAGUCCCCGGAUGAGGGUACCUGAAGAAAAAGCAUCGGCUAACUCCGUGCCAGCUGCCGCGGUAAUACGGAGGAUGCGAGCGUUAUCCGGAUUUAGUGGGUUUAACGGGUGCGCAGGCGGCCUGUUAAGUCAGCGGUAAAAGCCCGGGGCGCAACCCCGGCGAGCCGUUGAAACUGGCGGGCGGGAGUUGGAGAGAAGUACGCGGAAUGCGCGGUGUAGCGGUGAAAUGCUUAGAUAUCGCGCAGAACCCCGAUUGCGAAGGCAGCGUACCGGCUCCACACUGACGCUGAGGCACGAAAGCGUGGGUAUCGAACAGGAUUAGAUACCCCUGUAGUC